rnacentral:rRNA from 1 species
CCAGACUCCUACGGGAGGCAGCAGUGAGGAAUAUUGGUCAAUGGGCGAGAGCCUGAACCAGCCAAGUCGCGUGAGGGAAGACGGUCCUAUGGAUUGUAAACCUCUUUUGUCGGGGAGCAAAUUCCGUUACGUGUAACGGAGUCGAGAGUACCCGAAGAAAAAGCAUCGGCUAACUCCGUGCCAGCAGCCGCGGUAAUACGGAGGAUGCGAGCGUUAUCCGGAUUUAUUGGGUUUAAAGGGUGCGUAGGCGGAAUAUCAAGUCAGCGGUAAAAAUUCGGGGCUCAACCCCGUCGUGCCGUUGAAACUGAUGUUCUUGAGUGGGCGAGAAGUAUGCGGAAUGCGUGGUGUAGCGGUGAAAUGCAUAGAUAUCACGCAGAACUCCGAUUGCGAAGGCAGCAUACCGGCGCCCAACUGACGCUGAAGCACGAAAGCGUGGGUAUCGAACAGGAUUAGAUACCCGAGUAGA